rnacentral:sRNA from 1 species
AUCAUGUGUAAUAUAUAAUAAUAAAAAAUAAGAGAGAUGAGGUAUCUUAAAGGAAAAAUAGGAGAUUGUUUAUUUUAAUGGCGAUUGGUUUUUCUCUCAAUUUAUUUAGAAGAAUUGUCUUUAUUUUAAUUUUGCGAUAUGGAAAAAAAUUGCUUACUUCUUUCGCCACCAAGUAAUUCAACAACUUGAAUAAAAAGGAGAUUAAGAUCAUCUGUCCAACGCCAAUGCGGCACUUUUGACCUAGUGUACGAUCUAACGAUCCGUCCUCUCAUUGUUCUUCUGUCUCUUGUAAAACUCUUAGUUUGAUAAAACUUUAGACUACAUACUGAUAAUUUAUAU